AGUUGGUGGCAAGGCCCUUAGUUCAGUGGGCCCCCAGACAGAACUGGGCUUAGCUGUCUCACAGAUGCUCCUCUCCUUAUCCUUUAGGUGAGAGAAGUGACUCUGAAAAGUCUGCUUCAAAAGGACCCAACAUUUGCUGGCACACUGGCAGGCACCUGUAAUCCCAGCAACUCCAGAGGCUGAAACGAGAGGAUCCCUUGAGCCUGGAAGUUUGAGGCUGCAAUAAGCUAUGAUGGUGUCACUGCACUCCAGCAUGGGUGAUAGGGAAGCAACAGCCCUCAAUUGCCUGCAUUUUCUUUCCUCUUCAAAACCACUUCUGCUCCAAAGACCAUGAACCUGAACUGAAGAAACGACUCUUUCCUGCUGGCAUGAGAUAAUUCAGUCUCCAUGAUGUCUUAAUCCUGGGCCUCCCUUAA
rnacentral:lncRNA from 1 species